UAGAGAAUGGUAAAAUGGAAUCACAGAGAGUUUUGAUCUCUCAGUUAUGGGUUCAAUUCCCGUUUUUCUAU
rnacentral:tRNA from 1 species